rnacentral:rRNA from 1 species
UUCGGGGAGCUUGCACAGGUGCUGCAUGGCUGUCGUCAGCUCGUGUCGUGAGAUGUCGGUUAAGUCCGCUAACGAGCGCAACCCUCACUGUGUGUUAUAUGUGUCACACGGGACUGCCGGUUUUAAGCCGGAGGAAGGUGGGGAUGACGUCAAGUCAGCAUGGCCUUUAUAUCCUGGGCUACACACACGCUACAAUGGUCGGUACAAUAGGUUGCCAAGCCGCGAGGCGGAGCCAAUCCAAAAAGCCGGCCUCAGUUCAGAUUGUAGGCUGCAACUCGCCUGCAUGAAGAUGGAAUCGCUAGUAAUCGCGGAUCAGCACGCCGCGGUGAAUACGUUCCCGGGCCUU